UCAUCAUAUAUAUAGUUUCUUUCUCAAGCUCCUCCAAAUCACUUUUCCAAAACAAUUUCUGUCUAGCAUUUCAUCCUCUCCUCUCCUCAGACAAAAUUCUAUGGAUCUGCCCUCUGUAAAUUUACUCAACAAAUACAAGCUCAUUCUCAGCACUUUCAAUCGGUUCCCUUUCUCUCCAGAAUUUCACACGCAAAACAACCAUCUUCUUGAGCAACCUCUACCCCAGAACCAAAUUCAGCCAUACAUCAAAACCUUGUGCGGCGCGACUAGGACAGAACUUUCAUUACAUUACUCAAGUCAGUUAUCAAGUUCAAGUUUCAAGUGUGAGAUUUAUUUAAUACAUGUUAUUAAUUUUAAUCCAUUUUAAUAUUAUGUAUUUAUCAUAUGUGAGUUAAAUUAUAUAUAUCGCUAGGGGCCCGUUGAAUGGGUCUAGGACGGAAAGGUCCUUGGUAUGCCAAAAUGCGAUUUAAAUGUAAAAGUUAAGGUUGCAACCAUAUAUUAAAUGACCAGGGGCCCGCUGAAUGGGUCCAGGACGAAAAGGUCAUUUGUAUGCCACCGUGCAAGUAAAUGUUAUGAAUGUUAAUAUCGUAUGUGUUACCGUUUUAUUAACUUGGACAAUUAUUGCAUAUUCCCACAUUGAGUAUACUCUGUAUGCUCAUCCCACAUUUA